GAUGAACGCUGGCGGCGUGCCUAAUACAUGCAAGUCGAGCGAACAGACGCUGCUCUUGCUCCUCUCACGUUUGCGGCGGACGUGUGUGUAACACGUGUAUCACCUCCCUAUCUUUCUGGUAUAUCUUCGGGAAUCCGGCUCUUAUACCGUAUAAUAUCUUGAUCCUCAUUGUUCAUUAGUUAUUGUCGGUUUUUCUGUCUCUUUUCGCUUGUUCCCCGCCGCAUUAGCUAGUUGGUAAGGUAACGGCUUAUCAAGGCAACGAUGCGUACCCGACCUGAGAGGGUGAUCGGCGACACUGGAACUGAGACACGGACAAGAGGACUACGGGAGGGAGCAGAAGGGAAUAUGCCGCAAUGGGCGAAAGCAUGACGGAGCAAAGCCGCGUGAGAGAUGAAGGACUUGGGAGCGGAAAACUCUGUUAGUAGGGAAGAAAAAAUGUGUAAGUAAAAAUGCACGGAGUGACGGUAACAAAUAAGAAAGCAACGGCUAACUACGUG
rnacentral:rRNA from 1 species